rnacentral:rRNA from 1 species
GGGUUGUGAGGUUAAGCGACUAAGCGUACACGGUGGAUGCCCUGGCAGUCAGAGGCGAUGAAGGACGUGCUAAUCUGCGAUAAGCGUCGGUAAGGUGAUAUGAACCGUUAUAACCGGCGAUUUCCGAAUGGGGAAACCCAGUGUGUUUCGACACACUAUCAUUAACUGAAUCCAUAGGUUAAUGAGGCGAACCGGGGGAACUGAAACAUCUAAGUACCCCGAGGAAAAGAAAUCAACCGAGAUUCCCCCAGUAGCGGCGAGCGAACGGGGAGCAGCCCAGAGCCUGAAUCAGUGUGUGUGUUAGUGGAAGCGUCUGGAAAGGCGCGCGAUACAGGGUGACAGCCCCGUACACAAAAAUGCACAUGCUGUGAGCUCGAUGAGUAGGGCGGGACACGUGGUAUCCUGUCUGAAUAUGGGGGGACCAUCCUCCAAGGCUAAAUACUCCUGACUGACCGAUAGUGAACCAGUACCGUGAGGGAAAGGCGAAAAGAACCCCGGCGAGGGGAGUGAAAAAGAACCUGAAACCGUGUACGUACAAGCAGUGGGAGCACGCUUAGGCGUGUGACUGCGUACCUUUUGUAUAAUGGGUCAGCGACUUAUAUUCUGUAGCAAGGUUAACCGAAUAGGGGAGCCGAAGGGAAACCGAGUCUUAACUGGGCGUUAAGUUGCAGGGUAUAGACCCGAAACCCGGUGAUCUAGCCAUGGGCAGGUUGAAGGUUGGGUAACACUAACUGGAGGACCGAACCGACUAAUGUUGAAAAAUUAGCGGAUGACUUGUGGCUGGGGGUGAAAGGCCAAUCAAACCGGGAGAUAGCUGGUUCUCCCCGAAAGCUAUUUAGGUAGCGCCUCGUGAAUUCAUCUCCGGGGGUAGAGCACUGUUUCGGCAAGGGGGUCAUCCCGACUUACCAACCCGAUGCAAACUGCGAAUACCGGAGAAUGUUAUCACGGGAGACACACGGCGGGUGCUAACGUCCGUCGUGAAGAGGGAAACAACCCAGACCGCCAGCUAAGGUCCCAAAGUCAUGGUUAAGUGGGAAACGAUGUGGGAAGGCCCAGACAGCCAGGAUGUUGGCUUAGAAGCAGCCAUCAUUUAAAGAAAGCGUAAUAGCUCACUGGUCGAGUCGGCCUGCGCGGAAGAUGUAACGGGGCUAAACCAUGCACCGAAGCUGCGGCAGCGACGCUUAUGCGUUGUUGGGUAGGGGAGCGUUCUGUAAGCCUGCGAAGGUGUGCUGUGAGGCAUGCUGGAGGUAUCAGAAGUGCGAAUGCUGACAUAAGUAACGAUAAAGCGGGUGAAAAGCCCGCUCGCCGGAAGACCAAGGGUUCCUGUCCAACGUUAAUCGGGGCAGGGUGAGUCGACCCCUAAGGCGAGGCCGAAAGGCGUAGUCGAUGGGAAACAGGUUAAUAUUCCUGUACUUGGUGUUACUGCGAAGGGGGGACGGAGAAGGCUAUGUUGGCCGGGCGACGGUUGUCCCGGUUUAAGCGUGUAGGCUGGUUUUCCAGGCAAAUCCGGAAAAUCAAGGCUGAGGCGUGAUGACGAGGCACUACGGUGCUGAAGCAACAAAUGCCCUGCUUCCAGGAAAAGCCUCUAAGCAUCAGGUAACAUCAAAUCGUACCCCAAACCGACACAGGUGGUCAGGUAGAGAAUACCAAGGCGCUUGAGAGAACUCGGGUGAAGGAACUAGGCAAAAUGGUGCCGUAACUUCGGGAGAAGGCACGCUGAUAUGUAGGUGAAGUCCCUCGCGGAUGGAGCUGAAAUCAGUCGAAGAUACCAGCUGGCUGCAACUGUUUAUUAAAAACACAGCACUGUGCAAACACGAAAGUGGACGUAUACGGUGUGACGCCUGCCCGGUGCCGGAAGGUUAAUUGAUGGGGUCAGCGCAAGCGAAGCUCUUGAUCGAAGCCCCGGUAAACGGCGGCCGUAACUAUAACGGUCCUAAGGUAGCGAAAUUCCUUGUCGGGUAAGUUCCGACCUGCACGAAUGGCGUAAUGAUGGCCAGGCUGUCUCCACCCGAGACUCAGUGAAAUUGAACUCGCUGUGAAGAUGCAGUGUACCCGCGGCAAGACGGAAAGACCCCGUGAACCUUUACUAUAGCUUGACACUGAACAUUGAGCCUUGAUGUGUAGGAUAGGUGGGAGGCUUUGAAGUGUGGACGCCAGUCUGCAUGGAGCCGACCUUGAAAUACCACCCUUUAAUGUUUGAUGUUCUAACGUUGACCCGUAAUCCGGGUUGCGGACAGUGUCUGGUGGGUAGUUUGACUGGGGCGGUCUCCUCCUAAAGAGUAACGGAGGAGCACGAAGGUUGGCUAAUCCUGGUCGGACAUCAGGAGGUUAGUGCAAUGGCAUAAGCCAGCUUGACUGCGAGCGUGACGGCGCGAGCAGGUGCGAAAGCAGGUCAUAGUGAUCCGGUGGUUCUGAAUGGAAGGGCCAUCGCUCAACGGAUAAAAGGUACUCCGGGGAUAACAGGCUGAUACCGCCCAAGAGUUCAUAUCGACGGCGGUGUUUGGCACCUCGAUGUCGGCUCAUCACAUCCUGGGGCUGAAGUAGGUCCCAAGGGUAUGGCUGUUCGCCAUUUAAAGUGGUACGCGAGCUGGGUUUAGAACGUCGUGAGACAGUUCGGUCCCUAUCUGCCGUGGGCGCUGGAGAACUGAGGGGGGCUGCUCCUAGUACGAGAGGACCGGAGUGGACGCAUCACUGGUGUUCGGGUUGUCAUGCCAAUGGCACUGCCCGGUAGCUAAAUGCGGAAGAGAUAAGUGCUGAAAGCAUCUAAGCACGAAACUUGCCCCGAGAUGAGUUCUCCCUGACUCCUUGAGAGUCCUGAAGGAACGUUGAAGACGACGACGUUGAUAGGCCGGGUGUGUAAGCGCAGCGAUGCGUUGAGCUAACCGGUACUAAUGAACCGUGAGGCUUAACCUUACAACGCCGAAGGUGUUU